rnacentral:rRNA from 1 species
GACGGAGGAUGCAAGUGUUAGCCGGAAUCACUGGGCGUAAAGCGUCUGUAGGUGGUCAAAUAAGUCAACUGUUAAAUCUUGAGGCUCAACCUCAAAAUCGCAGUCGAAACUAUUAGACUAGAGUAUAGUAGGGGUAAAGGGAAUUUCCAGUGGAGCGGUGAAAUGCGUAGAGAUUGGAAGGAACACCGAUGGCGAAGGCACUUUACUGGGCUAUUACUAACACUCAGAGACGAAAGCUAGGGUAGCAAAUGGG